rnacentral:rRNA from 1 species
CCUACGGGUGGCAGCAGUGAGGAAUAUUGGUCAAUGGCCGGAAGGCUGAACCAGCCAUGCCGCGUGAAGGUCAGUGCCCUAUGGGCGUUAAACUUCUUUUGUGCGGGAGCAAUAAUGGUCACGUUUGGCCACACGAUAGUACCGUCCGAAUAAGCAUCGGCUAACUCCGUGACAGCAGCCGCGGUAAUACGGGGGAUGCAAGCGUUAUCCGGGAUUAUUGGGUUUAAAGGGUGCGUAGGCUGGGAGGUAAGUCAGCGGGGAAAUGCCCCCGCUCAACGGGGGGAAGUGCAAUUGAUACUGGCGUGCUGGAAUGCGGAUGCGGUGGGAGGAAUGUGUGGUGUAGCGGUGAAAUGCAUAGAUAGCACACAGAACACCGAUUGCGAAGGCAUCUGACGAAGCCGCGAUUGACGCUGAUGCACGAAAGCGUGGGUAUCAAACAGGAUUAGAUACCCUUGUAGUC